UACGAAGGGGGCUAGCGUUGCUCGGAAUCACUGGGCGUAAAGCGCACGUAGGCGGAUUGUUAAGUCAGGGGUGAAAUCCUGGAGCUCAACUCCAGAACUGCCUUUGAUACUGGCGAUCUCGAGUCCGGGAGAGGUGAGUGGAACUGCGAGUGUAGAGGUGAAAUUCGUAGAUAUUCGCAAGAACACCAGUGGCGAAGGCGGCUCACUGGCCCGGAUGUGACGCUGAGGUGCGAAAGCGUGGGGAGCAGAGAGU
rnacentral:rRNA from 1 species